UGGGGAAUAUUGCACAAUGGGCGCAAGCCUGAUGCAGCAACGCCGCGUGAGGGAUGACGGCCUUCGGGUUGUAAACCUCUUUUAGCAGGGAAGGAGCGAAAGUGACGGUACCUGCAGAAAAAGCGCCGGCUAACUACGUGCCAGCAGCCGCGGUAAUACGUAGGGCGCAAGCGUUAUCCGGAAUUAUUGGGCGUAAAGAGCUCGUAGGCGGUUUGUCGCGUCUGCUGUGAAAUCCCGAGGCUCAACCUCGGGUCUGCAGUGGGUACGGGCAGACUAGAGUGCGGUAGGGGAGAUUGGAAUUCCUGGUGUAGCGGUGGAAUGCGCAGAUAUCAGGAGGAACACCGAUGGCGAAGGCAGAUCUCUGGGCCGUAACUGACGCUGAGGAGCGAAAGGGUGGGGAGCAAACAGGCUUAGAUACCCUGGUAGUCCACCCCGUAAACGUUGGGAACUAGUUGUGGGGUCCAUUCCACGGAUUCCGUGACGCAGCUAACGCAUUAAGUUCCCCGCCUGGGGAGUACGGCCGCAAGGCC
rnacentral:rRNA from 1 species